rnacentral:rRNA from 1 species
AACGAACGCUGGCGGCAUGCCUAACACAUGCAAGUCGAACGAAGUCUUCGGACUUAGUGGCGGACGGGUGAGUAACACGUGGGAACGUGCCUUUAGGUUCGGAAUAACUCAGGGAAACUUGUGCUAAUACCGAAUGUGCCCUUCGGGGGAAAGAUUUAUCGCCUUUAGAGCGGCCCGCGUCUGAUUAGCUAGUUGGUGAGGUAAAGGCUCACCAAGGCGACGAUCAGUAGCUGGUCUGAGAGGAUGAUCAGCCACAUUGGGACUGAGACACGGCCCAAACUCCUACGGGAGGCAGCAGUGGGGAAUCUUGCGCAAUGGGCGAAAGCCUGGCGCAGCCAUGCCGCGUGAAUGAUGAAGGUCUUAGGAUUGUAAAAUUCUUUCACCGGGGACGAUAAUGACGGUACCCGGAGAAGAAGCCCCGGCUAACUUCGUGCCAGCCGCCGCGGUAAAAC